ACUGCUCAGUAACACGUGGAUAAUCUGCCCACAGGACGGGGAUAAUCCCGGGAAACUGGGAAUAAUACCCGAUAGAUCAUUGGUACUGGAAUGUCCUUUGAUCUAAAUGCUCUUUCUACGCCUGUGGAUGAGUCUGCGUCCGAUUAGGUUGUUGUUGGGGUAACGGCCCAACAAGCCGAUAAUCGGUACGGGUUGUGGGAGCAAGAGCCCGGAGUUGGAUUCUGAGACAUGAAUCCAGGCCCUACGGGGCGCAGCAGGCGCGAAAACUUUACAAUGCGGGAAACCGUGAUAAGGGAACCCCGAGUGCCUGUAUAUGCAGGCUGUCCAGGUGUCUAAAAAACACCUGAAGAAAGGGCCGGGCAAGACCGGUGCCAGCCGCCGCGGUAAUACCGGCGGCUCGAGUGGUGGCCACUUUUAUUGGGCUUAAAGCGUUCGUAGCUGGGUUGUUAAGUCUCUUGGGAAAUCUGACGGCUCAACCGUCAGGCGUCCAAGGGAUACUGGCAAUCUUGGAACCGGGAGAGGUGAGGGGUACUUCGGGGGUAGGAGUGAAAUCCUGUAAUCCUCGAGGGACCACCUGUGGCGAAGGCGCCUCACCAGAACGGCUUCGACAGUGAGGGACGAAAGCUGGGGGAGCAAACCGGAUUAGAUACCCGGGUAGUCCCAGCCGUAAACGAUGCGCGUUAGGUGUAUCGGUGACCACGAGUCACCGAGGUGCCGAAGGGAAACCGUGAAACGUGCCGCCUGGGAAGUACGGUCGCAAGGCUGAAACUUAAAGGAAUUGGCGGGGGAGCAC
rnacentral:rRNA from 1 species